UACGUAGGGUGCGAGCGUUAAUCGGAAUUACUGGGCGUAAAGCGUGCGCAGGCGGUUUUGUAAGCCCGAUGUGAAAUCCCCGGGCUUAACCUGGGAACUGCAUUUGGGACUGCAAGGCUUGAGUACGGCAGAGGGGGGUAGAAUUCCUGGUGUAGCAGUGAAAUGCGUAGAUAUCAGGAGGAAUACCGAUGGCGAAGGCAGGUCUCUGGGCUGACACUGACGCUCAUGCACGAAAGCGUGGGGAGCAAACAGG
rnacentral:rRNA from 1 species